GUCUUUUUGAUUAUAAUUUAAGGUUUAAUCUGCUCAAUGAAAAUUUAAAUAGCCGCAGUAUUCUGACUGUGCAAAGGUAGCAUAAUAAUUAGUCUCUUAAUUAGAGACUUGUAUGAAUGAUUGGACAAGAAAAUUUCUGUCUCUUAUUAAUUUUUUUUUGAAUUUAAUUUUUAAGUUAAAAUGCUUAAAUUUUUAUAAAAGACGAGAAGACCCCAUAGAGUUUUAUUUUCAUUGAUUUUUAGUAUAAUUUAUUAAAUUGAUAAAUUGGUUGGGGUGACUUAAAGAUUGAAUAAACUCUUUAAAUUUAAAUCAUUGAUUUAUGAAUUAUUAGUCUAAUUUUUUAAGUUUAAAUUAAAUUACCUUGGGGAUAACAGCGUAAUUUCUUUUAAGAGUUCUUAUCAAAUAAGAAGAUUGCGACCUCGAUGUUGGAUUAAAAUUUAUUUUAGGUGUAGAAGCUUGAAAAUUAAGUCUGUUCGACUUUUAAAA
rnacentral:rRNA from 1 species